AAGGGAGACCUAAUUCAGGUAUUAGGCGAAAAAAAAGUAGUCCCUACCAAGAAUCAAUCCCAAAAGGUCGGAACGAGGUUGGAGGCUUUCAAACUAGGUUCUGGGUUCAAACAAGACCUGAAUCAGGAACAAGGGCUAUUAGCUCAGGUGGUUAGAGCGCACCCCUGAUAAGGGUGAGGUCCCUGGUUCGAGUCCAGGAUGGCCCACCUGCACAGGUGGCAAAAACAAAGAAGCGAGGAAUCAGCACCUUAUCUUACUUAUAUAGUAAGAGAGAAUGCUGGCUCUGAGUAAAGAGUCCAGAGGAACCUUGAAAACUGCAUAGAGCUAGGUGAAAAAGCCAAAAAAGAAGACCGCAA
rnacentral:tRNA from 1 species